rnacentral:rRNA from 1 species
CUUUGUACUGUGAAACUGCGAAUGGCUCAUUAAAUCAGUUAUCGUUUAUUUGAUGUUACAUUACUACUUGGAUAACCGUGGUAAUUCUAGAGCUAAUACAUGCGCAAAGUCCCGACUUCUGGAAGGGAUGUAUUUAUUAGAUAAAAAACCAACGCGGGCAACCGCUUCUUUGGUGAUUCAUAAUAACUUUUCGAAUCGCAUGGCCUUGUGCUGGCGAUGCUUCAUUCAAAUUUCUGCCCUAUCAAC